GCCGUCGUGGGCCGCGGAGGACCACCCCCAUGAAAUGAAUUUGACCUCAGCUUGAUCUGGUGAGGGGGAGCCGGUGGUUCGAUUCCACCCGACGGCG